rnacentral:rRNA from 1 species
UCGGUCGAUGAUGGACGUAGAGGAAACACUCCUUCCCCAUCCGAAACAGGAAAGUUAAGCUCUACAGCGUCGAUGGUUCUGCAUGGGAGACUGUGUGGGAGGAGUAGAACGUUGCCAGGU